UAUUAUUUUUGGCAUAUAAAUAUUGUGAUUAUUUAUAGGUUUUCACAUUAAGUCUAAGAUUCAGUUCAUUAUAUUUAGCAUAGAAGGAAUAGAAAUAGAAAUGGUAUUGAUUGGUAAUUUACUCUAAUUACACUUUUGGAUUAAAAGACUUGAAGAUCAUAUCGUAAGUCAGUGAGUUAACUUUGAAGAGAGAGCAAUUAAAACUUUAAGAUAAAUCUUUGAAUCAACAAGCAAAGAGUAAUAAACUAUGACAGUGUUUCUUUUAAAUUAAUCGUAAACUUAAUAAGACAAUUCUCUCACAUUUUGGGUGAGAAUGAGAAUAUAACUCUCGAUUACUCAAGCAUCAUCAGCUUGUUUAACAACAUACUUAACAACAGAAGCAGUCCAAGAUUGACGCACACCCAGUGCACUGGGCUCUCUAAUCUUGAUGAGGGGCACGUCUGGCGGGAGCCACGCGACUUUAUAAGAGCAGCGCGCCCGUCAGCCCGUACAGAAAACUAAAUCCCCACAAAAUGCGUACUAUGUGGCUCAAGAUCAUACAUGUGGCCAUUGUGCUGGCAGUGGUUGUGUUCGAGAAGCAUAUUGCCAGUGUUGCCGAUGCCAAGCAGUUGAUGAACGAUUGCCGCUGCCAAAGGCGGGGCUAAACAAUAAUUGUAGCAGCGUAUUCGAGAGACGAGAGACGAAAACACACAUCAAUAAACACAAGGCGGGUCGAUUGUAUAUAUGUAUACAAAA
rnacentral:sRNA from 1 species